rnacentral:rRNA from 1 species
UACGUAGGGUGCAAGCGUUAGUCGGAAUUACUGGGCGUAAAGCGUGCGCAGGCGGUGAUGCAAGACAGAUGUGAAAUCCCCGGGCUCAACCUGGGAACUGCAUUUGUGACUGCAUCGCUGGAGUACGGCAGAGGGGGAUGGAAUUCCGCGUGUAGCAGUGAAAUGCGUAGAUAUGCGGAGGAACACCGAUGGCGAAGGCAAUCCCCUGGGCCUGUACUGACGCUCAUGCACGAAAGCGUGGGGAGCAAACAGG